rnacentral:rRNA from 1 species
UACAGAGGUCUCAAGCGUUGUUCGGAUUCAUUGGGCGUAAAGGGCGUGUAGGCGGCCAGGUAGGUCUGGUGUGAAAACUCGAGGCUUAACCUCGAGAUGUCAUCGGAAACCAUCUGGCUAGAGUCCGGAAGAGGAGAGUGGAAUUCCUGGUGUAGCGGUGAAAUGCGCAGAUAUCAGGAAGAACACCAAUGGCGAAAGCAGCUCUCUGGGACGGUACUGACGCUGAGACGCGAAAGCGUGGGGAGCGAACAGG